AGGAUAAACGCUGGCGGCGUGCCUAACACAUGCAAGUCGAACGUCCUUUCCCGCAAGGGGAAGGGAGUGGCGGACGGGUGAGUAUCACGUGGGUUAUCUGCCUUUAGGUGAGGAAUACCGGCGAGAAAUCGCCGACAAUACCGCAUAUCUUUCGUAAGAAAGAAAGCUUCGUAAGAGGUGCCUGAGGAGGAGCCUGCGCCCGAUUAGUUGGUUGGUGGGGUAAUGGCCUACCAAGACGACGAUCGGUAGCUGGUCUGAGAGGAUGAUCAGCCACACUGGGAUUGAGAACGGCCCAGACUCCGUACGGGGGGCAGCAGUGAGGAAUUUUCGGCAAGUGGGGGCAACCCUGACCGAGCAACGCCGCGUGCAGGAUGACAGUCUUCGGAUUGUAAACUGUCUUUUCGUCGGGGACGAGUAAGGACGGUACCCGAGGAAGAACGCCCCGGCUAACUACGCGCCAGCAGCCGC
rnacentral:rRNA from 1 species